UACGUAGGGGGCAAGCGUUGUCCGGAUUUACUGGGCGUAAAGAGCGUGUAGGCGGCCACGCAGGUCCGUUGUGAAAACUGGAGGCUCAACCUCCAGCUGUCGACGGAAACCGUGUGGCUAGAGUCCGGAAGAGGAGAGUGGAAUUCCUGGUGUAGCGGGUGAAAUGCGCAGAUAUCAGGAAGAACACCAAUGGCGAAGGCAGCUCUCUGGGACGGUACUGACGCUGAGACGCGAAGCGUGGGAGCGA
rnacentral:rRNA from 1 species